rnacentral:tRNA from 1 species
GCAGCCGUAGCAGGAGGGUCCCUGCACUGGCCUGUUAAGCCGGAGACCGCGGUUCGAUUCCGCGCGGCUGCG